CAAAACAAGCGGUGAGUGCUUUGGGGUGGGGUGACUGCGUACCUUUUGUAUAAUGGGUCAGCGACUUAUAUUCUGUAGCAAGGUUAACCGAAUAGGGGAGCCGGAGGGAAACCGAGUCUUAAUUGGGCGUUAAGUUGCAGGGUAUAGACCCGAAACCCGGUGAUCUAGCCAUGGGCAGGUUGAAGGUUGGGUAACACUAACUGGAGGACCGAACCGACUAAUGUUGAAAAAUUAGCGGAUGACCUGUGGCUGGGGGUGAAAGGCCAAUCAAACCGGGAGAUAGCUGGUUCUCCCCGAAAGCUAUUUAGGUAGCGCCUCGUGAAUUCAUCUCCGGGGGUAGAGCACUGUUUCGGCUAGGGGGCCAUCCCGGCUUACCAACCCGAUGCAAACUGCGAAUACCGGAGAAUGUUAUCACGGGAGACACACGGCGGGUGCUAACGUCCGUCGUGAAGAGGGAAACAACCCAGACCGCCAGCUAAGGUCCCAAAGUCAUGGUUAAGUGGGAAACGAUGUGGGAAGGCCCAGACAGCCAGGAUGUUGGCUUAGAAGCAGCCAUCAUUUAAAGAAAGCGUAAUAGCUCACUGGUCGAGUCGGCCUGCGCGGAAGAUGUAACGGGGCUAAACCAU
rnacentral:rRNA from 1 species